AUGGUCGAAGAGGUCAUUCCGAAGAUGGUGGACGAUAGUAUGAAUGAUAUCCUCACUAUACUUCCUUCUAACUAUGAGAUUCAGGUCCCUAUUCAGAUUAGAAUUCGUAACUAUCACAUUCCUUUUGAUCUUCGGGCGUUUCUGAGUUCUGGUGGCGCUGGGUUUGGUCGAAAGAUAUUCCGCUGUCUAAAUUGUUUACGGUUUGGAGGUUGCUACUCAAUAAGGUAG